rnacentral:rRNA from 1 species
UACGGAGGAUGCAAGCGUUAUCCGGAAUGAUUGGGCGUAAAGCGUCCGCAGGUGGCUAUGUAAGUCUGCUGUUAAAGAGUCUGGCUCAACCAGAUAAAGGCGGUGGAAACUACAUGGCUAGAGUGCGUUCGGGGCAGAGGGAAUUCCUGGUGUAGCGGUGAAAUGCGUAGAGAUCAGGAAGAACACCGGUGGCGAAAGCGCUCUGCUAGGCCGCAACUGACACUGAGGGACGAAAGCUAGGGGAGCGAAUGGG